GGCGGACGGGAAGGCGGGAGAGGAGAAGCCCGAGAAGCCGCAGCGAGCCGGAGCCGCCGGAGGUGAAAACAACCCCAGCGUCGCGGGCUGCGGGGGCUACUCCGGCCUUUCUUGGGGUUUCCCGGGGUGGGGGGGCUUUACGGCAUCUCAGGAACGGGCGGAGCUGGCGCUCGCCCGGCCAGGGGCUGGGCCCUGGUGAGUACCGGGCACGCCCGGUGUGGCCCGCGGGGGAUCGAGGUCCGUAUCGUCUCCUCAGAGAGCCCGCCAGUUACCACCGGGCCUUGAGAAGGGAGGUGGGAGAUGGAGCUUGGGCUGGGAGCCCAAACAGCAGAGAGCUCAGGGCCCGCCGCGCACUCAGGCCCCCGUGCGAGCGCCGAGCCGCCGCCGCGGGCACUGGCCGCAUGCCGGCUUUCCGAAGGCGCCGGCCUCUCGGUCACACGUAAUUAGCUUUGAUGCUCUCAUUUCGCUGAGGAGGUGGAAGACCCCAGCCCACUCUUUGCUGUAUAUUCAGACAUAACAUUUAUAAACCCUGCGAUGGCGUAAGUCGAGACGAUGCAGGGAGGAAAGGUGAUCUGGCUCAAGCAGCAAAAGCUUGAAAUUAGGGUUUGAUUCGCUUUCUUUACAGUAUUCUUCUUAGGCUGCUAACAGCAGAGUCUAUGUCAGAUAAUAAGGUGGCAGGUGCGAUCUUCCUGUAAUUUGUCCUGAAAUUAAACUCAGAGUAUAGCUAUCUUUUCAUUCCUCCUACCACCGUAAUUUUUGAUGGUGUGCAUAAAGGGAAAGAAAUACGUAGUCUCUUUUCCCCUACGCCCUUUUGUCAUAAGGAUAAUUAACACACGUGAGCGGAUAAUAAAUAAUGUCUUGUUUAGAAUGUUUUAGCCUUUCACUGUUCUAGCUUUCUUCGGUCUUGUCCCUGAGAUACUUAAAUGCGAGAACAUGUAGACCCAGUAUCGCGUAAAGGCAAAAGGUGGCUCUACCAAGUUUGUUAAUUGCCCAAAACCCCCGCCCCCAUCCUGAGUACUGGGAUUACAGGCCAUGGCCACUUUGUCAGGUCUCUUCCUCAUUUUGUUUUUUAAAUUAGUAAAAUAGCAAAUGAAAGU
rnacentral:lncRNA from 1 species